CUCAUGACCCUCCCAAGAUGGCGGCGCCGCCCGGAGCUGUUUUUCUCUGUGCGGCGGGCCCGCCCCUAGGGUGCUCGUCGGAGUGAGGGCGGUGGGGGCUGCCAUGGAGGCCCGGGCGGAGGGAGAGGCCGCUGCUGGGAGCCCCCCCAGCCUCUUCGAGCUGAGUGGGGUGGUGGUGAGCUCCGCCAUGGGGACCCUGGAGAGAGAGGUUUGGGCACUCCCUGGACAGAUACUCCAAGGCAUCCUGCCUUUACUUAAUAUCUAUUACCUGGAAAGGAUUGAGGAAACUGCUGUGAAAAAAGGACUCUCAACCCAGCCCAUAUGGCACAAACUCUGGAAUGAUGUGAUGAAAAUCAGACCACCCAAGUCAGAG